rnacentral:rRNA from 1 species
AACGCUUGCGGCUGCCUGAGAAAUGCAAGUCGAGCGGGGUGUAGCAAUACACCUAGCGGCGAACGGUCGAGUAACACGUAAGCAACCUGCCCUGCAGUGGGGGAUAACAGCGGGAAACUGCUGCUAAUACCGCAUAGGCAUAUUUCUGGGCAUCCAGGGAUGUGUAAAGGCUAGACUGCUGCAGGAGGGGCUUGCGGCCUAUUAGCUAGUCGGUGGGGUAACGGCCUACCGAGGCGACGAUGGGUAGCUGGUCUGAGAGGAUGGUCAGCCGGAUCGGGACUGAGACACGGCCCGGACUCCUACGGGGGGCAGCAAUCAGGAAUAUUGCGCAAUGGGGGAAACCCUGACGCAGCGACGCCGCGUGCGGGAUGAAGGCCUUCGGGUCGUAAACCGCUGUUGUGGGAGACGAAUGACUGUCGAUGAGGCAGUGGAGACGGUAUCUCACGAGGAAGCCCCGGCUAACUACGUG